rnacentral:rRNA from 1 species
GUCUUUUCGUUAAUUAUUUAAGGUCUAGCCUGCUCCAUGACUAAGUUAAAUAGCCGCAGUAUUUUGACUGUGCAAAGGUAGCAUAAUCAUUAGUUUUUUAAUUGAAAGCUGGAAUGAAGGGUUGGAUGAGAAAGAAUCUGUCUCAUUUUAAUUUUAAUUGAAUUUUACUUUUAAGUCAAAAGGCUUAAAUUUUAUAGAAAGACGAGAAGACCCUAUAGAGUUUAACAAGUUAACAGUUUAAUUGUUCUAGGAUUUUAAUUUGAUUAAUUUGUUACUUGUUUUGUUGGGGUGACAUAAGAAUUUAAUUAACUUCUUUUUAUUAUAACAUUGAUUUGUGGAUGAGGGAUCCUAUUUUUUAGAUUUGAAGAAUAAAUUACCUUAGGGAUAACAGCGUAAUUUCUUUGGAGAGCCCUUAUUGAUAAAGGAGAUUGCGACCUCGAUGUUGGAUUAAAGUUAAGUUUCGGCGCAGAAGCUGGAAUUUUGAGUCUGUUCGACUUUUAAAACUUUACAUGAUCUGAGUUUAAACCGGCGUGAGCCAGGUUGGUUUCUAUCUUUUAUAAGUAAAAUAUUUUAGUACGAAAGGACCAAAUAUUUAAAUAAUAUUUUUUAUUUGAAUAGAAUUGUUACUUUGGCAGACUAGUGCAAUAGAUUUAGAAUCUUUAUAUGUAAUUAUAUUACAGGUAACAAUUUACUUUAUUGAUUUGGUUUUAUUGUUUACUUUGGUGUUAAUUUUAGUUGUUUGUGUUUUGGUAGGUGUAGCUUUUUUAACUCUCUUGGAGCGUAAGGUUUU